rnacentral:tRNA from 1 species
GGUCCUAUAGUGUAGCUCGGUUAUCACUUUCGGUUUUGAUGGAUUUUGUCAAAUUUCCGAACAACAUCAGUUCGAAUCUGGUUAGGACCU